UACAGAGGAUCCAAGCGUUAUCCGGAAUUACUGGGCGUAAAGAGUUGCGUAGGUGGCAUUGUAAGCAGGUAGUGAAAGCGUUCGGCUCAACCGGAUUAACAUUACUUGAACUGCAAAGCUAGAGGACAAGAGAGGUCACUGGAAUUCCCUGUGUAGGAGUGAAAUCCGUAGAUAUAGGGAGGAACACCGAUGGCGUAGGCAGGUGACUGCCUUGUUCCUGACACUAAGGCACGAAAGCGUGGGUAGCAAACGGG
rnacentral:rRNA from 1 species